AAUAAUAGCAUAUUUAAUAUAAAUAUUCCAAAAUUCAUCAAUAGUUCUUAGAGAAUAUCUUUUAUUAUAUAGAUUAAUAAUGGAUUAAAGCUAUUUUCUUGGUUCAAGGCAUUCUCUCGGGUAGUCAAGGCAAGACAAAAAAAACACGUGUUGUUAACCGUUUUGCUACUAUUGGUUUAUUGCUACAAAAUUUGCACUCUCCAAGCAAACAUCAAGAUCAUGAAAAUAAGAUAUCAAAAUGUAAACACAAAGCUUUUGAAUAAGCUUUAUCUUCCUUUACCCUCUCUUGUUAUUGAAUUGAAAAGAAAGCCAACAAAUAAGUGAUUAAUAACACUUUCUUGCUUAGAUUGAAAGGAAGAAAAAAAGAAGGUAUUAGGAGCACUUUCGAAGGUAGUAUCCAUUUUGUUUUAUAGCCACCAAGGCAUUAUUAUUAUGAAUCUAAAUAGAUUUUUUAUUUAUUUAUUAUAAAUGAAUGUAUAUAAACAUGUUAAGUGUUAUCUUGAAAUAUUGUUAUUUUUAUGUAAAAUCUUGGUUGAGUAUUAUAAGAGUUUAAUAUAGAUAUAAUUAAGUGAAUUGGUUAGUAUUUUAUAGGAUAUUCCAAAUAUAAUAUUGAAAGAUUAAACAGAAAGGGCAGUUCAUUUUACAUUUAAAACUAAGUGAAAAGAAAAGGCUCACUUCAAAAAAACAAAUAUAGAUUAAAACUAUAUUAAU
rnacentral:lncRNA from 1 species